rnacentral:rRNA from 1 species
CGCGUAGGCGGUUUCGGAAGUCAAGGGUGAAAGCCCCGAGCUCAACUCGGGAAUUGCCUUUGAAACCACGGAACUAGAGUGUUGGAGAGGAAAGCGGAAUUUCCAGUGUAGCGGUGAAAUGCGUAGAUAUUGGAAGGAACAUCUGAGGCGAAGGCGGCUUUCUGGACAGACACUGACGCUGAGGCGCGAAAGCCAGGGGAGCGGAACG